rnacentral:lncRNA from 1 species
AUCUUCGAGUUAGGAUCUUCCACUUCUGACAAAACUUUGAGCUUUUGUGUUUUAGAUUGAAUGUGUUUGUCGAAUAUUGAACUUCUUAUAAAUUUUGAAUGUUUACGGAAGAUCAAUUUAGUAAUUUAUCGUUUUAGGACGUUGUUUUAUUCAAAAACUAGAGCGUCGUUUAGAGAUUCAGCAUACAAAAUAGUUGUAUAGAUAAACCAAUUAAUAUCAAACGUUAAGCUUAACAAGUCAGGAAAGAAAAUAAUCAAAAUAUCCCUUCUUCAAAGAGGGAGCUGCUGCACCUUCGGAUUUCUCAGCCUCGGCCUUGAAGUCAACCUUAAAAUCCUCAACAAUGCUCUUGCUCUCCAAAUCCCAGAUCUUGACGUUGUUCUCACUUCUCAGUUACAGCACACAGCCUGUAACUGUUAGGACAGAAGCAAAGAGCAUGGAUAACAGCUCCAGCGUCUAAACUGUAAAGCAUCUUACCCUCAGCCAAAUCCCACAGCAAAAAAAUGAAAAUCACAUUGUUUUUCCCACCACUAGCACAGAAGGAACCAUUGAUAGUGUUCACAUAUCCACUAUGACCAGCCAAAGUUCAUCUCAGCAUGCAGUUAGUCAAAUUCCAUAUACCUUGACGGUACGGUCCCAAGAGGCAGACACCAUUGUUGGCUGGAGACUGUUGGGACUGAAACCUGGCGCAGCUCACCCAAUCAGAAUGUCUCCAUCCUCAAAGCAACGGAGAGGAUUCCUUGGUGUGGCCGACGAAUCGGCGAGCAGAGACGCCGGCGGCAAGAUCCCACAUUCGAAGUUCGACGUCCCAUGAACCAGAGAGAUGAACUGUCCGUCGGAGGACAGGACAACACCGGGCACGAAGUGAGAGUGGUCGGUGAGGCGGCGGUAAGCGACACUACUGUAUGUGUUCUCGUAGGUCAGAUUACAGACGAUGAUGGACUUGUCGCCGAGGAGCUGACAAUCAUAUCGGGGCUUUCGAUCAGGAGGGCGAUGACGGUCACCGGAUCGGUGUGGGCACACAUGGUGCCGCGGAAGACCAAUCCAGCAACAAUGGUGUUCGGCGGAGCCUAGGGUUUUUGUGAGGUGAGGAUAAGGAACAUGAAUCGAAUAGAUCGGUUUAUUUUUGCUUGAAAUCGAUAAGGGUAGUAAAUUAGUAAUAUUAAUAUGAUAUUAAUUAUAUGCAAAAGGAGUCCGCUUUAUGCUACGGACCCAUUCCGUUGCGUAAUGGUCGGAGGACUUAUUAAAUUAUUUGCAAUAAUAAUAUAAAAAUUAGAGAUAUUUAAAUAGUUCUUAACUUAUAUUCUUUUCUAAUUUCUAAUAUAAAAUUAUCCUGAUAUUAAACAUACAACUAUUUUAAAACAAUGUGUAAAGCUUCAAACUUAUUAACUAAGUAAAUUAUUUGUACCAUAUUUUAUUAACUAUUUUUAUAUAAUUUAAAUUAAAGGAUCUAGGUCUUUUGCUACGAAAAAUGUAUGUCGCAUAAAGGUCGACGUCUAUUGCUACGAAAAUUUCUGUUGCAUAAAGGUCAACGUCUUGCGUUACGGUAAACUUGACAACUGCAUCUCGCAUGACAGAGGAAGAUUGUGAUCCAAUUAGUAAUAAGGAUUCAUCUCGCAUGACAGAGGAAGAUUCGAGAAGAUUCGCAAAGGAGGAAGAGGAUACGAAUCUGGAGAGCUGCAGAGUGAUUGGAAU